rnacentral:rRNA from 1 species
UACAGAGGGUGCGAGCGUUAAUCGGAAUUACUGGGCGUAAAGCGCACGUAGUCGGCUUUGCAAGUCGGGUGUGAAAUCCCCGGGCUCAACCUGGGAACUGCAUCCGAGACUGCAUUGCUAGAGUAUGGGAGAGGGAAGCGGAAUUUCUGGUGUAGCAGUGAAAUGCGUAGAUAUCAGAAGGAACAUCAGUGGCGAAGGCGGCUUCCUGGACCAAUACUGACGAUCAGGCGCGAAAGCUAGGGGAGCAAACGGG